UAUGAGAAAACUGGGCCUGUUUCAAUGU
rnacentral:piRNA from 1 species